GACGUAGGGCGCGAGCGUUGUCCGGAUUUAUUGGGCGUAAAGAGCUCGUAGGCGGCUCAUUGCGUCAACCGUGAAAACCAGCAGCUCAACUGUUGGCUUGCGGUUGAUACGGGUGGGCUGGAGUUCGGUAGGGGAGACUGGAAUUCCUGGUGUAGCGGUGAAAUGCGCAGAUAUCAGGAGGAACACCGGUGGGCGAAGGCGGGGUCUCUGGGCCGAUACUGACGCUGAGGAGCGAAAGCGUGGGGAGCGAACAGG
rnacentral:rRNA from 1 species